AGUCCUAGAGGCUGAAACCGGCAAGUGGGAGGAAGGUCGCUUUGCGCACCAAUAGCUGAGGCGUUUAGGGUUGUUCCUGGGCCGGUACCCUCACGUGUCUGGUUUCGAGGGCUGAUGCGUUCGGUCGCAGUAGGAAGUUGCGCAGACCGUGGCAGUAAGACGCUUCCUGCGAAGGCCUCGGUUGGACGCGAAGGAGCUGCAGCAUCCAGGGGACGACAUGCCAACUGCCAAGCAGCUAGCUGACAUUGGCUACAAGACCUUCUCCACCUCCAUGAUGCUCCUCACUGUGUAUGGGGGCUACCUCUGCAGUGUCCGGGCCUACCACUUUCUCCAGCGGCGCCGCUCCCGGCGCCAGGCUGCAGAAGAACAGAAGACGUCGGGAGUCCUGUAGAAUUGGGGGGCUUUCUCUUGCCCGAGGCCUGCUGUGGAAGGACCUUACCUGCUGUCAUUUCCAGAAAAUUCAUCCCAUUGAUGGCAGAGCCAGUUCCUGGUAUUUGAGUCUCUGACACAACAGAAUUGUAUCAAGUCUGCAUAGGAUGGCCUGAGGCUUGUGGCUAAACUCUUGGUGAGACCUGCCCUGUGAGAGACCUUACUGAACAAGAAGAAAAAGCAGAACUGUAUGCAGAUGGCUGAGGUGAAGAUGAUGCAGAUAACUUUACUAUGCAUUUAUUCUCAUACUUCUACAGAUCUUCAAGGAGCCAAAUUCAUGGACCCCCUAAUUAUGAAGUCAUUUCUCAUAUCUCUCUAAGGUCUAGUCCCAAGUGCUACAAUAACCCUCUCCAUGACUGUUUUUAGAAGACUCAUUUUACUGCUUUAAAUCUUUGAGGGCUCCCUUGACCUGCCAGAUGUUUAGCUCUUCAGCAUGAUAUUCAAGAUUCUUCACAAUCUAGCCCCAGGCUUCUUUCCUAUUAUCUCCUGCCACUUUGGUCCAGCUCCAACAGA